rnacentral:rRNA from 1 species
AUAUUCUGUGAGCAGGAAAGCAGGGGACCGCAAGGCCUUUGCGCUCUUUGAGCGGCCGAUGUCAGAUUAGCUAGUUGGUGAGGUAAAAGGCUUACCAAGGCGACGAUCUGUAGCGGGUCUGAGAGGAUGAUCCGCCACACUGGAACUGAGACACGGUCCAGACUCCUACGGGAGGCAACAGUGGGGAAUUUUGGACAAUGGGGCAACCCUGAUCCAGCCAUGCCGCGUGAGUGAAGAAGGCCUUCGGGUUGUAAAGCUCUUUUCGGCCGGGAAGAAAUCGCAUGGGCCAAUACCCUGUGUGGAUGACGGUACCGGAAUAAGAAGCACCGGCUAACUACGUG